rnacentral:lncRNA from 1 species
AGCACGGGUUGUUUUAAAAUAUAUUGUCUAACCUCGUUUUAUGAAAAAAAAAACCAACAUACAUUUGAUUCAGAUUUUUUAAUUCUAAUAUUCUAAAGGAACUUGGGUUUAGGGGGGGGGGGGCAAAAAUGAUUCUCUCUUUUGUUGUUCUGCCUAUGAAUUUCCUGUAAGGGAAAUAGUCGGGCCAAUCAUUAUUGGCUUCAUCUAUGAUUUCAAAAGAUCCUGAAUUUAUAGUUUCUGUGAAGUUUGGUUAAAGUAAGGUCCUCAUAUGAUUAUGCACCAUUCUUCAUUUAAAUUGUUCGGCAAUUUUUAAUUCAUAUGAAAUAUGAGAAGGGCACGCACGUGUUACCUGUACCCAAAAGGAGGAUUGUGUUUUCGAUAAAAAAAAAUUUAGAAAAAAAAUGUAUAUUAGAUACAACAAAAAAAGGGGGGAUACCCAAACCCUGGUGUCUUAUUCCCAGUCCAGGCAUAUCAGUAUGUUCAUAGAUCUGCGUUGUAGUAUAACUAAAAAAUAAUGCAUUCAAGCAAGUUUGAUAUAGUAUUUUUUCCGAAUGCGUUUUACCUCCAUAAGGUAAAUGGGGGUAAAUCAUCAAUUUC